rnacentral:rRNA from 1 species
GACGUAGGGCGCGAGCGUUGUCCGGAUUUAUUGGGCGUAAAGGGCGUGUAGGCGGCCACCGCAAGUCAGUUGUGAAAUCUCUGGGCUUAACCCAGAAAGGUCAACUGAUACUGCGGGGCUAGAGUGCAGAAGGGGCAACUGGAAUUCUCGGUGUAGCGGUGAAAUGCGUAGAUAUCGAGAGGAACACCUGCGGCGAAGGCGGGUUGCUGGGCUGACACUGACGCUGAACUGCGAAAGCUAGGGGAGCGAACGGG